CUGGCCUCCUCUCUCCUCACCUGUUCCUUGUCUGAUCAUCAGUGUCUGUGUAUUUAUUCAGUCUCUGUGUUCCCUUCACUCCCUGUCCGGUCAUUGUUUGUAUUCUGUCCUUGGUUGUUCACGCUCCUGUUUACGCUCUUGUUUCCUGUUUGUACCUGCUGGCUGUAGGCCUCCAGCAGCUCCUCCAGGGGGAAGGUGAAGCGGUACGAGCCCAGCCUGGAGAGCUCGGAGAAGGCCGGGGAGGUGGCAAACUUCCCCAGGAAGCUCUGCUGCAUCUGGACCUGCUCUGCUGUCCGGUCGGGGUAGGUCGUCUCCAGGAGCCUCCUCUCAGCUGAUGUGAUGUCAUCAGGCUUCACAGCCAGACUCCACCACACCAGAGAGCCUCCGUAUGGGCUCUUGAAGCCGUUAUCCCUCCAGAUGCCACAUAAUCCAUCUCUGUCUGUGUCGUGUUUCAGAUGAGACAGAUGAAACUCUGGUCGGGGACAUGCAGGGAUGUUUUCUUUGAAGAGGGAAAUGAAUAAACCCCACCCCGGAGGCGUGCAUCGCCCAAAUAAAACUAGACCAAAACCAAACAAACUCACAAUGUGCCCAGACAGACUCAACAGGGGUUUAUCAGUGGAGAAUCAGAGUCAGGCGGCAGUGCCCACCUGUGAUGUCUGUGGAAACUUUGUGAUGUUGACCAACACAAAGAGCAUCAGAUCAGAUCAUCUGAUUGAUUGGAACAUGUAAAACAAAAGUCUGGCUGUUUUUAGACAUUUUGGAAUCCCUGUAAUGUUACGUGUUAUAUAUCUAAAGAUGCGUCAUGCGAUUCUGGAGGAAGAUACAAGAUUGUAGAAAAACAAGAAAAUCCUGAUUCUUCUUUUCACAAUGAGGACAUGGCGACUCAACAAUCCAUCCUUCACCUGAAUCGUGCUAAGCACCUGUUCCUGUUUGUGUCCGGCUCAUCUGCGUGGUUAAAUUCUCGUGAUUUCAUUCACUGAACCCACUUCAAUAUAAAAACACAUCAGGAUUCAACAACAGGUUCAAUCACCAAAAUAAACAAGCGAUUAUGAACUUC